CUUUGUUUGCAUAUUGAGUCUUAAGUGCAGUUUAGUGAAUAGUUUAGUCAGACUCCUUACUCACUCACGUUUUUUUUCAUCUUUUUAAAAGUGGCAAUACCAUACGACAGAAAUACUUAAAGUAAAUUAAGUUUAGCUGCAAAAUGGGAAUCCAAGUCAAAGUAGUUGGACCCAGAGGAGAAGAAAAGAUCAUCGAUCUGUGCGACAAUGAGGCGCAGAUGAAGAAGAUCACUGUACUGCAACUAAAAGAGAAAAUUUGCAAAGAGCUAAAGAUAAGUGGUGACCUCCGGGUGGUCUUCAGAACCGAGAAGCUGGAGGACUCAUUCCGGCUGUUAUCCUAUGGGAUCCGACACAUGUCCACCAUCCACACACUGCUGAUGCUGCCCGGAGGCCUCUGAACUACACAGCCAG